rnacentral:misc_RNA from 1 species
GAAAUGCGAUAAUUAAUGUGAAUUGCAGAAUUCAGUGAAUCAUCGAGUCUUUGAACGCACAUUGCGCCCCCUGGUAUUCCGGGGGGCAUGCCUGUCCGAGCGUCAUUGCUGCCCUCAAGCACGGCUUGUGUGUUGGGCUUCCGUCCCUGGCAACGGGGACGGGCCCAAAAGGCAGUGGCGGCACCAUGUCUGGUCCUCGCGCGUAUGGGGCUUUGUCACCCGCUCCCGUAGGUCCAGCUGGCAGCUAGGCUCGCAACCAAUCUUUUUAACCAGGUUGACCUCGGAUCAGGUAGGGAUACCCGCUGAACUUAAGC